rnacentral:rRNA from 1 species
AUGUCGGUGAGCGCGACAAUGGGGGUGAUGAAGCCCCUCCUCGGCAAGCUGGCGGAGCUGGCAGGCAACGAGUACAGCAGGCUCAAGGGGGUGAGGAAGCAGGCGUCCUUCCUCGAGAAGGAGCUCAGCGCCAUGAACGCCGCCCUGGAGAAGAUGGAGCUCAUGGACGAGCUCGAUCCGGUGGCCAGAGACUGGAGGGACCACGUCAGGGAGAUGUCCUACGAAAUUGAAAACUGCAUCGAUGACUUCCUACGCAAGUUCGGUGGCGGUCAUGCCAAGGUAGGCUUCAUCAGGAAGACUGCUCUACGUCUCAAGAUGUUGGGACAGCGUCAUCGGAUUGCUGACCGGAUGGAGGAGCUCAAGGUUCUUGCGCUAGAGGCAAAUGAACGACGCCUCAGGUAUAACAUCGACGAAUGCAAUCCUAAUUCCAGCUAUGAAUGCAAUCAUAAUUCUAGCUUUGUGGCUAUUGAUCCUCGGAUGUCGGCGAUAUACAUAGAAGCAGCUGGGCUUGUGGGUACCGAUGGUCCAAGGAAGGAGCUUGUCAGUUUGUUGACAGAUACUGAGAAGAAGCUCAAGGUGGUGUCCAUUGUGGGAUUUGGAGGACUGGGUAAAACUACACUUGCCAAAAGGGUGUAUGAUGAGAUCCGAGAGCAGUUUGACUGUACAGCCUUUGUUCCCGUAUCCCAAAAGCCUAAUAUGACAGAGUUUAUGACAGGACUGCUUCAUCGUUUUCCUAAACCACCAAAACUUGAGAUUGAUGAGUCUUCUCAAGCACAAGCACGAGGCAUGCAAGACAUAAUUGAUGACAUCAUAAAACGUCUGAAGAAGAAGAGGUACCUUAUUGUAAUUGAUGAUUUGUGGGACCAGUCAACAUGGAAUACUAUUAGCCGUGCCUUUCGAGAAGAAUUUCCAGAAGAUGCCAAGGGGAGUAGAGUAAUAGUAACCACACGAGUGGAAGGCGUGGCUUAUGGAGCAUGUUACAGUCGACCUGAGUGCAUUUACAGAAUGAAGCCCCUCGGCGAACAAGACUCAAAAAGAUUGUUUUUUCGUAGAGUAUAUGGGUCUGAAGAUGACCAUCCAUCUCGAUUUGAAGAAAUCUCGGCUGAAAUUCUGAAGAAGUGUGGUGGUCUCCCACUUGCAAUCAUUACUAUAGCUAGCCUAUUAGCUAGUCGUCCUCAAAGGAUAAGGGAUGAGUGGGAGAGCAUUAGGAAUUCUCUUGGAACCCAAUUUGCGGUAAAUCCCACAUUGGAAGGGAUGAGGAGUAUAUUAAACCUUAGCUACAUCCAUCUUCCGCUUCAACUCCGGGCUUCUUUUCUGCACCUUGGUUUCUAUCCAGCAGACUGCGAGAUUGAGAGGGAUGAUUUGGUUCGACAAUGGUUAGCUGAAGGGCUUGUCAAUAAGUUGCAUGGCCGAGAUAUGGAGGUUGUUGCGAACAACUAUUUUAAUGAGCUUGUCAACAGAAGUUUGAUUCAGCCUGACCGUACAAAGUGUGGGGAGUUGGUAUCGUGCAGAGUACAUGAUAUGAUGCUCGAUUUGAUCCUAAGCAAGUGUGAAGAGCACAACUUUCUCAGAGUUGAAUGCAAUUCUGAAGACAUGGCAAGAGAGCAUGGCUCGAAAUACAAGGUCCAUCGCAUAUCCAUGAACUUCAGCGGUGGUGGUGCAGCCGAUGAGACGGCAUCAGGGACCAUACCUUCUAGCAUGUCCCAUGUUCGAUCACUUGCACAUUUCGGAGGAUCCACGUACAUGCCCCCUCUUUUGCAUUUUAAGUAUCUAAGGGUGAUUCUCUUCAAAAUUUUAGGGGACAAGACAACCGAUCUCACUGCUAUUAGCCAGUUGUUCCAACUGAAGUAUUGA